AUGAUUGAAAACAGUGUUUUUCGAGUCAUUUAUCGUUAGAUAGGACAAGAAAAUAUAAUUCAAUAUACUAAUGAACUACAAAAUCCACGUUCGGAAAUUGUCCCUCAAUAAGAAACGGAUCAGUGUGCAGAGGUACUUUCGGGAUUCUUGUAUUUAUUUUUCACAGACACAUAGAAAUAUAAGUAAUAAGUUACCUAUACGGUGUAAAUGUAAGAAUUUAAUAGACGAAAAUAAUCGCACUUAAAUAAACAAAUUAUUCAAUACUUUUGAAUUAUUUGAACAUAGAUUUAUGAAUAAACAUAUAAAAUUUUUCCAAUCUCUGGAAUUAAGAAAUAAGAAUCAAUCGGGUAAAUCCACUAUCUACCUAAAAUUCUAAUUCCUAAUCAAAUUUUCGAAAAAAUGUAAAUUCCAAAUGAUUGGAAAGAGUGUUUUUCGCGUCAUUUAUCGUUAGAUAAAGUACGAAAGUAAGAUUAAAUUUACUAAUAAACUACAAAGUCCGUGUUUGAAACUUGUCCCUCAAUAAGAAAUUGUCCAGUGUGCAGAGGCACUUUCAGGAUUCGUGUAUUUAAAUCUCACAGACACAUAGAAAUAUAAGUAAAAGGUUACCUAUACAGCGUAUAUGUGAGAAUUUAAUAGACGAUAGCACGCUGAUAACUUUAAUGCGACGAAAAUUCUCGCCCUUAAAUGAAAUAAUUAUUCAAAACUUUUGAGUUAUAUGAACUUAAAUUUAAUAAUAACCAUAAUGAUUUUUCCAAUCUCCGGAGUUAAGCAUUAGGUACCGAUCCGGGAAAUCCACUAUCUACCUAAAAUUCUAAUUCCUAGUCAGAUUAUCGAAAAAAAA